rnacentral:misc_RNA from 1 species
UCAAUUGUCGAUCAGUUAUCAACCAAUUAUCAACGAAUUAUCAGCGAUUUAAUUAACGAAUCAUUAGCGAUCCUACUUUACGACUGUCUUAACGAAUCGAAAUCCUCGAACCUGUCUCGGAUAUCCACUGUGCACCAUCAAGGUUCAGGGUUAAUAACCAGAAUAACGGAACGAAAAGAAAGAAGGGAAGAAAAUCGGAGAAAAGGGGGAGAAGGCUAAUAUGAAUAACCCAAGGACAAUUGGCCGGCAUUGCAAGAUGCGCCUUAUUCCGCGAAACUUGGCGCCCCGCUACUACAAGAUGUUACCUCCUCCUACGUGGAAAUGUAAUAUGCUUCCGUGGACCAGCAGUCAGCCAACCAAACCAGCCUGUGACGCCACCGUAGUUUCUUAAUUUCAUUUUCGCCCGGUUGCCAGAAAGCGUAGACCUCAACGAGUCCGUCUGUCCCUUGCAUUUUGGAUUUUUCGUUGAUUUUUUGCGGGAAUCGCUCGGAGAAUUCAACACGAAUUCCGCGUGGAUUUCGAGCAAGCACGAAAGAGACCACCCGCUCCGGCCUUUUAGCGCUAACAAUUUUUCAAGCCACUCAAAGUACCCUGGAAAGAAGAAGAGUAUACCACCCGGCACAGAGUACGUGGAACCUGGAGGCGUUUCACGGGUCGGCUAUCUUUUAAAUUGUGAUACGAUAGUUUCGAGCUGAGGAACACUUCUACACCCUUUAAAACGAAGCAAAGCGAGAGAUCGUUAAGUAGGACUCCAGUUAAUUUCCGUCGACGUUAUACCAGCCAGAAAUAAAAUUUUCUUUAUAGUACGACCACGCGGACGAUACCUCUUUUCCUUUAUGUCACUGUGUAAAUGGUUUUUGGACUUUCGACGGGCUACCUGAACCUAAACGUAGAACCACGGCGAAUUACGGUGUCGUCUGUGUGGUGGGCGGUAUUCACGGACAAUAAAAUUAGUCCUUCGAGUAUUGUCCAGAGGGAUACAUACAGACCGUAAAGAGAAAUUCUCGUGACUGAUGCACGUGUUUCCAACACGACGAAGCGACACAUAUGGAAACGUUUUGCCGAGACAGCGGAAAUUUUGGAUAGACAUUCUUUCAAGAAUUCGGGAUUUUAAGUCACUAUUUACGACCAAAAUUGGACAGAAAAUGCAGUGUUAAUGCAUUGAAUGCAAACAAUCCACUGAAAAUAAAACAUUGCAGACUCAUAUUUUAUGACUCUAUCCAAACGCUAAUAGCAAUUAAGUGUUGAAAUGACCACACAACGAGAUACUUUUAAUUUCCGUCGGAAACUUCUGGUCAUUAUAGCGAAUAGGAUUUCGAACUUUAACUGGUUCCAAUAAAUCUGAUUAAUCGGAUAUUG